UCUUUGCAGAUCUUUCCUUUCUACUGCCAUUGUUAUCACUCAUCUGUAUUAUUUCAUCAGCCUCAGAAAUCGGACACUGUGAGUGGUAGUUUAUGUGUCAACUUGACCGGGCCAUCGGAUGCUUAGAGAGUUGAUUACAAAUUAUUCUAGGUGUUUCUGUGAGGGUGGUUUUUGAAUUCAAGAUGAUAGCCCUGUAUGAUAUGGGCAGCCUCAUCUAAUCGGUUGAGGGUUUGACUCUGACAAAAGGCUGACCUUCCCUGAAUGAGAGAGAAGUCUUCCCCUCUGACUGCCUUCUAACUGGGACACAGGCUUUCUUCUUGCUUUCACACUCCAACUGAUACAUCAGUUCUUUCCGAGUCUCUAGUCUGCUGGCCUUUGGACUAGAGCUUUACCGUAGACUCUCCUGGUUCUCAGGCCUUCUGACUGAGAUUGGAACUAAACCAUCAGCUCACCUGGGCCUCCAGCUUGCUGACCUGCCCUCGAGUUCUUCAUAAUUCCAUGAGGUUUCCUAUUUAAUUUUCGAUACGGUGAAGGCAGAGACUGUUGCUCUCUUUAAAGUUACCCAUGGGACAUGCUAGAAAGGUUUGUGGAAAAGACAGGGUCUCGCUCUGUUUCUGAGGCUGUAGUGAAGUGGCAGAAUCAUAGCUCUCUGUAACCUUGCACUCCUGGGCUCAAGCAAUCCUGAUACCUCAGCCUCCCGAGUAGCUGGGACUAUAGGAAUACGCCACUGUACCUGGCACUCCAUAUUUUUCUAAAUGUUUGUUUCAGAUGAUGUUCUACCCAUAACAUACUCACUCAGUACCACAAAUUACUAUUUGAUAUUUUGUUUUCACAUUAAAAUUGUCUUUAUGAAAAACAAAUAGAACUGAAUUUUGUCAAGUCUUAAAAGUGAUCUCUAGAAUGCCUCUGUAUUCCAUUUGCAAAUAUGUACUACCAAGACUUUAUUUUGAGAAUUUUACUAUGAAAGCCUUUACAUGCGGUUAUCAAAGCGGUAAAUGAAAUAGGAUGUGCAGAAAAAGAAAACAUAAUAAUAGUAAUAAUAAUCAUAACAACAGCUCAAAGAGAGGUCUGGUCUUCGUUUUUAGUUACUUGGAAGUAACUUCUAAACCCUUGGAAUUUUGAGAGUGAUUGGAAUGUCUUUGUUAUUCAUGGUAAUCCCCUGGUACCACAUCUUAUAAUUAAUGCCAAUGAGAUGACUCAGAAAGGAGCAAGCCAUGCCAGAAAGACAAAACGUAUGAUUGUAGUUUUGUCUAGUUUUGGAGUUUGGGGCCAAGUGAUAUCAGCCUGACCUCCCAGGAUUGGGGUGCUAGAGAUCGAGCUCAACCGUGUGGAUGAUGAUUCCAUUAAUCCUGACUAUGUAAUGAAACCCCAAUAAAAUCACUAGCCCCUAGAGACUCUGAUGAGCUUUCUGGGUUGCCAGUACUCUGUGCAUAUUGUCACACAUCUAUCUAUUUGUAGAGCUUAAUGCACGCCUGAUGCAAAGACAGAUUCAAGUUUUGGGAUCCUCCCAGUUUCCAUCCUACGCAUUUUUUUCUUUAGAUGGUUCUAAUUUGUAUCCUUUGCUAUAAUAAAACUGUAAUUGUAAAUACAGCACUUCCUGAGUUCUAUGACUUGUUUUAGUGAACUGUUAAACCUGAGGGUGGUUGUGGGAAUCCCCAAAUGUGUAGCCAGCUGGUCUGAAGUGAGGGUGGCUCUGGAAACUCCCAAACUGUCAGUUAGUGUCUGAACUGAAGGUGAUAUUGUGGGGACAGUUCUCUUAAACUUCACAGUUGGACAGUCUCAUUGAGUUGGCGUCUUAAACAAAUUUGACAGUUGGAGAACUGUGCCUUUAACCUUGAGUUAUGCUAACUCUGGAUAGAAAACGAAGUCUUAGAUUUUUUAGUAGUUUGCUCCAAAUCUUCUAAUAUCUGGAGAAUUUGAGAUCUGAAUUUGAGACCCUGCAGGGUGAUCUGAUUCCAGGAUCCAUCCAAGAACUUUAAGCUGUUUUAGAAAACUGCAGAAUAAAAAGAUAGUUUGGAUUCCCCCUGAAGACCUUGAGACAAAGAUAUAAGUGAAAAUAGUGGUUUUGGGAGGUGCAAUAAAUAACAGUUGGAGGAUGGAGAAUUCAGCCAGAAAGAAAAGGCAGCCAGUGUUAUGUGUUAUCCAGACAACUAUCAUUGCAGGUGAUUGGAGCUUACUCCAUCUGGGGAACUGUGAGUAAGGGUAAAACACGUGCCAUCUGGGUGUGAGAGAGCUGUGACAUUGACAUUCCAAUGUAGUCUGUGGUUGAGGACAAAGAUUCAGGGAAAAGGGUGAAUUUUAUUUCCCUGGCACUUCUAGACGACACAAUGCACAGACAGAGUGCUUGCCAAACGUUUGGGAGAAAGCUGUUUAACAAGCAUAUGCAGUUAUUAGCAGAUGGAAAUCUAGGCUUUUGGGGAUUGGGCACACUGAAAUAGCAAGGCCUGAGGGAUAUGAGCAUGCACAGACAGCUCUGACAGCAAUAAUAGCAAAUACAAUAGCACUGUCUUGGAAAGUGAGGGGUUAGAAUAACAAACUACACCAGACUGAAGCCUCUGCUGUCAAACCUGAAAGAGAGGGGAGGCGUAUGGCUAGACAAUGCAUUGGAAUCUUCAGCCACAUCAAACAUUAGAAGUCCACAGUAAUUAAUAAGGUUAUCUGCUGUUCAAGUAUUUCUCCCUUCAAGGGUGAGGGGUUUGUUCCCUAAGCAGAUAGGAGUGCAACCUAAAGAUGCCCGCGAGGCAUCAGUCUCCACAUAUGCUUCAGUUGAAGAACACUGUGUUGUCCUGGGUUUUAAGUACUUCAGGGACAUUCUGCAUUCCAUGACUGAUCUACACAUGGAUUCUUUGAAAAUCCUUCUUAGUCCUAAAGCUCCAUGUAAGGUCAACUGUGGCUUUUGUUUGGUCUGCAUUUCAGCUCAACUUCUCUGCCUAAUCUGGCUUCUUUUUCCCCUCUUCUACAGGUGCCAAUUUCAGGAACACUCCUCUAGUAAACAUCCUGAACAAUUAUCAGCUUCCCAUAAAACCCAACUUGAAGCAAUCAGAAUACUUUAGCACUUCUUAUAAUGCUAAGUUGAGAUGGUACCAUUUCCUAAAUAUGAAGAAAAAGUAAACAUGAUUCCUGUAAAUGUCUUACAAUUUUCUGACUCUGAAAUAUUAUGUAAGAUGCUAUUCUUAUAUAAACUCAGUAGCUCCUUAUGAAAGUUAAUAAGCCAAGAUCCCAUAGGUCAAAACACAUGACUAGUGUUUAGUUAGUCAAUAGUGUUGGGGCUCAGAAAAUGAUACCUUAAGGUAUGUUGCUUUGGCAUUCUGAGUGCUUUGAAUUAAAGGAAAUUGGAAGGUCUUAGAAGCUGCCUCAGAAUCAAGGUCUCUCUGACUUUCCCUUGUUUCUCCUCCACAAGUGUGGGAGGGGCUUUCUCUGAAGUUCUAUUAUCUGAUGCAGGGAAGUUCUUCCAAAAGGAAUGCAAUUGUCUGGAACCCCUCCCUAAGAAUCUCAUCCAAAACCCAGGGAAUAUUAAUCACAGAGAGGAGAUUAAAAGUCAUCCCUGCACCCGGACUGGCUAUCACUGAUUCCCCCGGAGGCUGCCCCCAAACAAGUUUUAUCACCUGAGAGACUUUAUUUGCAUAGUAAGACAACCAGUGUUCCCCUGCAGUGCCUCCACUCUUCCUCCCACAACUUGUUGCCACCUCCCUCCAAAGCUCAAGCCGCUAUUUCUUUAUGCUUAGAAACUUCAAUCCUCUGGUCCUUUGAGUCUCGUAUUCUUCUGUGAGGUUCCUGUGUGCAUGCAUGUAGCUAACAUGCUUUUUCUCCUGCUAAUCUGUUUAUUGCUAUUUUAUUUCAGCAGACCUCAUUAUUCCUUCAGAGGGAAAGUUUAAAACUUCCCUACA